UACGUAGGUCCCGAGCGUUGUCCGGAUUUAUUGGGCGUAAAGCGAGCGCAGGUGGUUUAUUAAGUCUGGUGUAAAAGGCAGUGGCUCAACCAUUGUAUGCAUUGGAAACUGGUAGACUUGAGUGCAGGAGAGGAGAGUGGAAUUCCAUGUGUAGCGGUGAAAUGCGUAGAUAUAUGGAGGAACACCAGUGGCGAAGGCGGCUUUCUGGACUGUAACUGACACUGAGGUACGAAAGCGUGGGGAGCAAACAGG
rnacentral:rRNA from 1 species